rnacentral:misc_RNA from 1 species
GUAGGUGAACCUGCGGAAGGAUCAUUACCGAGAUAUUUUGCUUUUCUGAAAAGAAACAGUGAAUCUCCCACCCUUUGUGUUACCAAUUUUAAUACUUUGGUGAAGCAUCUCUUACAAAAGAGAUCAUUGACUUUUGAAAGAAAGUGGAUGUGUCUUUGCCAAAGGAACCAUUUAACUCUAUUGUUAUUAACAAAUUGUCUGAGUUUAUAAUUUUAAAAAAUAAACAAAACUUUCAACAACGGAUCUCUUG